CCGACGGUGGCUAACGGACCACCAAACGUACGACGGGUAUGGGCCAUGGGAGUUGGAGCCCAGAGAUGGGGACUGAGACAAGGCCCCAGGCCCUACGGGGCGCAGCAGGCGCGAAACUCCGCAAUGCGCGAAAGCGUGACGGGGGAACCCCAAGUGCCGUUGGUCUUUUGAUCGACGGCUUUUUGGAAGUCUAGGAAGCUUCCAGAAUAAGGGCUGGGCAAGUCUGGUGCCAGCCGCCGCGGUAAUACCAGCAGCCCAAAAAAGAAUGGUCGCGUUUAUUGGGCCUAAAGCGCUCGUAGCCGGGCCUGUAAGUCCCUUGUGAAAUCGGACGGCUCAACCGUUCGGCUUGCAAGGGAGACUGCUAGCCUUGGAAUCGGGAGAGGUCGGGGGUACUUCGGGGGUAGCGGUGAAAUGCUGUAAUCCCUGGGGGACCACCAGUGGCGAAGGCGCCCGACCAGAACGGAUUCGACGGUGAGGGGCGAAGGCUGGGGGAGCGAACGGGAUUAGAUACCCCGGUAGUCCCAGCUGUAAAGGAUGCGGGCUGGGUGUCAGGUGCCCUUUCGAGAGCACCUGGUGCCGUCAGGGUAACCGCUCUCCAGCCCGCUGUCCUGGGAAGUACGGUCGCAAGGCUGAAACUUAAAGAAAUUGGCGGGGGAGCACCACAAGGGGUGGGACAUGCGGUUUAAUUGGAUUCUACGCCGGACAACUCACCAGGGGCGACAGUUGGUUGAAGGCCAGGUUGACGACCUUGCCCGACUAGCUGAGAGGUGGUGCAUGGCCGUCGUCAGCUCGUACCGUGAGGCGUCCUGUCAAGUCAGGUAACGAGCGAGACCCUUGCCCUUAGUUGCCAUCGAUGGGAAGUCGGGCACUCUAAGGGGACCGCUGGUGCUAAACCAGAGGAAGGAGAGGGCGACGAUAGGUCCGUAUGCCCCGAAUCUCCUGGGCUACACGCGGGUCACAAUGCGCAGGACAAUGGGAUGCAAUGCCGUAAGGCAAAGCCAAGCCCCUAAACCUGCGCUCAGUUCGAAUCGAGGGCUGAAACUCGCCCUCGUGAAGCUAGAAUCCCUAGUAAUCGCGAGCCACUACCUCGCGGUGAAUACGUCCCUGCUCCUUGCACACACCGCCCGUCAAGCCACUCGAGUGGGGUCUGGAUGAGGCUUACUCAAAUUGGGUGGAUCGAAUCCA
rnacentral:rRNA from 1 species